UUGGAGUAACUGACUUUGAUACGAGGGCACAGCACGAUCUUCGAAAUGUUGAAGUGUUUAGAAAAUUUUGUUGUGGGCAGAGGACCGUUAAGGUGGAGAAUGUCAUUGACCUUUUUGAGUAUUAUGAUAUUGAUGAUCCGGAUGGGAGUUUAUACUUACGUGUGGCCCACGUGAUAGUAUUGUAUGGCAUGCUACUGGGGUAUGAGUCUGAUAAGAACGUGGCUGACUGGGUUUGGGCUUUGGUGAAUGAUCUUGAUGCAUUCAACCAAUCUCCGUGGGGAGCUUAUACGUAUCAGCUAUUAUGUCAAUAUGCGUAUACCUGUUCUAGAAGUGACAAGUAUAAAUUCUACGGGCCGGUGUGGGCAUUACAUGUAUGGUCUCUUGAAAUCAUACCCGAGUUGGGUACUCCAGUGGGUAGGCACUUGGAUGGCGGUGCACACCCUAGAUGUUUGAGGUAGAAGUUUCGAAGCAGGCCCACUGUGUCGGAUUUACGCCCCCAUUCGAGCAAGAGAUACUUAUUUCAUUAUAUCAUUAUAUUUAUAUUUAUUAUCAUAUAUAAAGAAUUUAUUUAAUGAUAUCAUCAUUUUUAUUGUAGUCGUAUCAUAUAUUGGCGAUACAGCCCGACGAUUAUGAGAUGACGACCCAUUAUUACACUGCGGCAGUGAUGCCCGUGCCCAUUGGUGUUCACUAUGAGCGACCGGUGAACCCGUUGAGGGAGGGUUGGCAGUUU
rnacentral:lncRNA from 1 species